rnacentral:lncRNA from 1 species
GAGGGGUGCUUUGCGGACGGCUGGGCUGAUGCUGGGACUCGAAUGGACGAACGGGAUGACUGGGGCUGAUCCCGGGUGCGGACGACGAGCGGAUGGAUGCAGAAGAUGCUCGCGGACGCUGCAACGCUUCACGGAAUGCUGGGAAUCCGAAAGAUUGCUCGGACGUUGAUCGCGGAAGCUUUGAAAUGGUGGAAAGAGGCAGACGCGAAAACGGAAGCUUGCGGAGGAUUUGAUGCGAGAGAAUCACUACGGAUGGCUGGGUGUUGGGCUUGGGAUGCUCACGAACGGCUGGGGGGGGUCUGAUGCAGGUCCGGAAGAAGGGGACGUUGAUCGCGGGUGCUUCGCAGAAGAACGGAGGAGGCGGACGGCUGGGAGGCUCGUGGACGCUGGAGCUGAUCGCGGAAUGAAAGAUCGCUGCUUCUGGUUUCCUUCUUUGGCCAAGGAGAGCUGGGAAUGCUUGGCGUGGAUGAGGCUGGGAGGAUGCUGGAUAUGCACGAAUGCUGAGAACGGACGCGGAAACGGUGCAG